CAGGAACCGAGCACCCAUCUGUAGCAGACCCACUGGGGGCAGGGAGCUGCUGGCUCCCUUCCCUGUGCCUGAGCUCCCACCUUCACAACUUCAUGCCCAGCACAUGGCCUGCCAACCUCAUCUCAGGUCUUUUCUUUGGGGGAAGUCUUGUUCUGCCGCCUUCUGUCCUAACCACAUCCCUGUGGGAGGGGUGGUGUAUUCAGCCCUCAGUGGGGUCCAGUUGUCCAGCCAGUCCUGGGAGCAUACUGAUCCCUGGCUCAGAACCCUGCCAUGGCUCCCCAAUGCCCGCCAGGUCCAACCCAAACCCCUGGUCCUGGGCCUCCCCUGCUCCAGGGAUCUCCACUUUGAGGAGAGGUGAGGGUGCCCUCUGGAGCCAGGCAUCCUGGUUUGAAUGCCAGUUCUGUGUGACCUCAGGCAAGUCGCUUAACCUUGCUGUGCCCCAGCGUCCUGCCUCACAGAGCUGUUGUGAGAAUUACAUAGGUUUAUAUAUGCAAAGCAUUUAGCACAGCACCUGCUCUGCAAGAAAGUUGUCAAUAAAUGAUAGCUGGAAAGGAUGUCUGUUUCCUGCCAGAAAGGACCUGAGAAAUGUCCUCCAAUGGGGCUUGUGGCUCAGCUCUCAGCUCUGGCCUUUCAGACUGAGCCAGCAGCUUCCAGGCCACCUGGGAGCUGGCUGGAGACUCAGAGUGCCAGGCCCCCUGGGGGUCCUAAAGCAGCAGGUGGGGGGAGGGGCCUGUACACUGUGGCCUGUAGCCAUUUGUGGGGUGGGAGUCCCCUAAGCCCCCAUCCCAGCCUCAGACUGGUCCACCACCUGCAUCCUCUGUCUUCUGGCCUUGCCAAGGCCCCUCUGCCUUGCAAGGCUCCUGCAGGAAGAAUGCCUGUCAACUCUGCCACCUCAGUGCCCACAGCUCCUAUUUUCCUAGAGCCUCAGUUCCUCAAGAAGAAAGGGAAUAAAAACACCCACAUCCAGGGAGGUCAGGGAUGAGCAGUGCACCACCGAGGCAGCCAGUCAGGGCUGAGUAUUGCUACUGGCUGCACCCCAGGCCUGGUGGGUCCCACCUGCCAUGCUGGAGUCCCCGCAGGGAUGAGGGAAAGACCUGUUGCUGGAGGGGGGCUGGGAUGAACUCUGGGAGCUGAGAGGGAGCACAGUGACCUGGGAUGAACUCUGGGAGCUGAGAGGGAGCACAGUGACUGGAGCCGGAGGGUGGCUGGUGCUUCCCCAAAGCGGCCUGAAUGAGGGAGGAAGGAAGGGAGGGCGAGCUGAGCACACCCUGGGCCCCAGAGGAAGUUGAAAGCCAGGGCCGUGGUGUGACAGUUCAAGGGCCCUAUACCACAGCGCUCCACUCCACCCGCACCUGCUGACGUCAGUGGGAAGUGCAGGACCCCGGCACCCCACCCCACUGGCUCUGGGUCUGUGAGGCAGGGUCCCAGCCUGGAGCCUCCCCCGGCUCAUCUCUGCACAGGUGGGGGGCUGGUGGUCCCUUGUGUCUUUAGGUCAGCAUUGCCCUCUCCCUGAAUGAAAGGAGCACCUCUUCAUCUCACCCCAUGGGCUCACCUCUCCCAGGUGUGACCCUAGAGUCUAUUAAACACCUGUUAUAUACCAGGUGGUGACACAUCCACAAGCUCAUUUAAUCCUUCACAAUACCCAGAGGAAGGCAUUUUACAGAUAAGGAGACCACCUCAGAGAGGUUCAGUAACCUGCCUGAGGUUGCACAGCUUGGAGGUGGCCCAGCUGGCCUUCCAACGCAGGCCCCCCGACAUGGAGUUCCUCCCGCCACCUGUGGGCAGGUGGAUUCAUGGUGGAGGUGCCCUCAGGGAGCCGGAGCAGCCGGCCCUCUUGUUUGUCAAGGAGGAAAUGGACACCCAGCACUGGGAGUGAGUGCCCCAGGCCAUGCCACAGGCUCCUGGCAGAACCAGGCAGGAUUAGAGAACUUUCUUUUGGCACUGCCUGCCUGGUAGGAGGGGCUCUGCCGGGAAGUCUCCUUCCUUUACUGCCUCUGGGUCUCUGCUCAGAGGCUACCUCCACAGAGAGAAGCUUUUCGGGGCAGUUCCAGCAGAAGGAGAGCCCUGUCACCCUCAUCUCCUGGCCCCGCUUUAUUUUCUUUCAUGGCACUUAUACUGUCACUUGCAGUUUUAUGUGUCCAGUGAUUUGUUUAUUGUCUCCCGCCUUCCCUGCGACUAGAAUGUGAGCACCGUGACUCCAGCAGGGUCUGUCUUGUUCCCUUGCUUACACUGGUACCUGGCACACACUCAGCAGUGUUUUGUGGAAUGAAUGAAUGACCGAAUGAGAGGAGUCAGUAGGUAAAGGAUGAAGCUGAUGCUUACGGGGCAAGUUUGGUGUGAAGACAAACUUCUUAAUGGCAAGCUAAAUAGAUCCUUCUAGGUGGAGGAGGGGAAUGAGCAAUAAUUUAGAAAAGGGAAGAGGCCACGUACAGCCAUGCGGUCUGGUACACAGACCAUAAAGUGAGUGGUCCCCGCCCCCCGCCAGUUGUACAGUUCUCAACUCGUACAGCAGUACCUGGCACCCCAGGGGAUGGGGAAGAACCCGACAGUCGUGGGCCCCUCGGCGGGGAUGAGUGGAGGCAGCUCUGCAGGUGCCUGCAGCUGGAGGAACAGGCUGUACCUUCCACGAGGACGCCACGUGGUCGUGGUUAGCAGUUUGCCAUCCGGUGGCGUUGUCACCACAGACAGUGGUCCAACCAGGGGGAGCAACUGUUAUGCUGUUAGCAAUCUCUGGUGCCUGGAGUGCCCAGCGGGACGCGGGUGGGGAAACCACCUUGACACACCCCACAAACACCGAACGCGGUGGACGAAGAUAAUCGAGACAGCGGGAGGGAGGGCUGUUUCCUGAGGCAGCUCUGGAGGCGGAGGACACUGUGUUCCGAGACGUCUCCACUGAGCAGAGGGCUGGCUGAGCGACCGGUCUCGGCCUCCCCCCCCUCCCCAGCCCCACAGGCUGGGCACAACAACAAUCAGCCUGUGGUGGUGGGGCCCGGCUUCGAUGAGUCACCUUGCCCACAGCGGGCCUUGCUGGGAGAUGUUAUCAGCGCUUCUGCUCACUUAAUUCCCUGGUUGACAUCACCACCGCCUCCAUCCUUUCCUUCUCGGCACUGCAGCCUGCAGCCUGGCGCAUCCUGGAAGAGAAGGCGGUGCAGGGCUCUUGCCAGGAGCUACCAGGGCGGGUAAAUUAGGACCCUCAGCUCUUUGGCCUUUAGCCUCCGGGCGCUUGGCUUAGUUCCUUGCUGCACACGGGCCUGGGUUCAUCUCCCAGGAAAUGCCGUCUGGAGUCAGGUCUGAGAGACACCGUCCCACCCCCGCCCCGUACCUCUCCCCUCCUUCCUGUUCAGAUGUGGGCCAAGCUGCUCCCCUGGGCAGUGUGUCCAGACCCUGGGGUCCAGUCCCCGAGUCCAGCCCUCCGCUGGCUCAAGCCUUCGCUCCUCAAUUCCAUCUUGUGCAAGCCCAGCUGCCUCUGACUGCGCUGCCUUCCUGUCCAGCCACUCUGCCUGGGGAUACAGCUCCCUCAGACAUCCUCCAGCUCCUUCCUCUGCCACCCCCCGCUCUCGGGGUAGCCUCCUGGGAGCCCAAGCCAGUCCCUUCCCUCCGUAGCCCAGCAUUCCCUCUCUCCUCCCCUCAAUGUCACUGUUCCAGUGCUGAUCCAGAGUGGUCGGUGGCACACGGAGGAUGCUAUGGGCUCAGCAGAGUGGUGAGUGACAGGGGUGACCAGAGACUGUGCUGUUCCUCCCUUUAGAGACGGACAGCAGGGGGGCGAAGCUCAGGUGCCAGGAGAGAGGCUCAGGACCCGGUCUGUGAUGGGAGGCUGCCUGAGCCUGGCCUGCCAGGGAGGCGGUGAGGGAAGUGGGUGGGGAGGGUGGGGAGAAGAGCCAACCCUUUGAACUGCCCCAAGAGCAGCCUCUGUGGCCCCAGGAGACAGCGCCUCAAAUGUCGCUGCCCCGGGCCAGGGAAGGGGGAAGAGGAGGUUUCUUAACACCAGUCACUUUUACUCUAGUUAUUUGACCAAAACGAAUUGUUCUUAGAAGGAAGAAGAAGAAGAAAAAAACAACAACAAACAAAAAACCAAAAAACCCACCACUGAGGUCACUUCUAUUACCCGAGCAGCUGAGGGAAAGAUCCUGCGAGCAGAUAACGUACCUGGGCCAGGGCUCUCCCCCAGCCCUCACCCCCUGCACAUAAUCUCGCCGCCUGGCCACCCUGCACCCAAACCCCAGCUGCUGCCUUGGCAUCCUGGAAGGUUCUAGAAGGCCGUUCCAAGUAAGGAGGGGUGGGCCCAGGGGGAGGCCUAGAGGAGCAGGCCUGGGCUCAGCCCCACACACCCGGUCUUGCUGGGUCUCUGCUUCCCCAAAUGAGGGGACCCAUUGAGGAACCCUUGGGAUGUUAAACUGUGUGAAAGUGCUUGGCAGUGACCACUAGCCAGCCUUCAGGCUGGGGUCCUGGAGAGAAGGGAAAAGGGAGUUAGGGAGGGUUUCCGAGAAGAGGUUACACCGCAGCAAUUUAGAACAUGAAAUCAGUUGACUACAUCUGCUCUUAGAAUCCUUUAGGUUCCUUUUCUUUUUUCCUUUUCCUUUUUUUUUUUCUUCCCCCUUCGGCUUUCACAGCAUAUGGAAGUUCCCAGGCUAGGGGUGAAAUUGGAGCUGCAGCUGCAGGCCUACACCACAGCCACAGCAACUGGGGAUUCAAGCCUUGUCUGCAACCACCACCGGAUUCCUGACCCACUGAGCGAGGCUAGGGAUCGAACCUGCAUCCUCGCAGAUACUAGUCGGUUUCAUUUCCCCUGAGCCACAACCAGAACUCCUUCGGUUCCUUUUUGACCCCAAAUUUUCUUAUUAAUGCUCUCAGCGAUGUGCACACCUUGAGAAUGAAGGGUGCCAUUGCUGAAGCAGACUCAGCUUGUGUCUGCUCAGACCCCUGGAUCCUUUUUCAAGUUUGAGAACCCAGGGUCCUAGGCUUAGUCUAGUGGGUGUUCUGCUGCAGUACUUCCCUUCUUGGCUGCAGACUAAGCUCAAAUUCUAGUCAACCCUGCCCGCUUUCCUCAGAGUGUAGCCUGAUUUUGGCUGUGGUUUGAGCUCUUUUCCCCUCUACCCCUGAGCCCCCAACUCACCUACAUUUACAGAGCACACGCUUACCUCAAACGCCUUUAUCCCAGACGGAACCUGCUGUCUUUCUCUCACGAGUCCCUUCCUUCUCUUGGGUGCUAAGAUCUUAGUUUGUGGUAAGACUCCCCACCCCUGAAGCCAGAGGCUGAGUCAUCCUUGACCACAGCCUUCUGUCCACCUCAUCUGAUGAGCCAUCUCAUCUGGCGGAUUCUAACACUGGUAUCUUGAGUCUUCAUCCCCUCUUCCCCAUGCCUCCUGCCCCCCAGUUUUUGUAAUAGUUGAGAGCCUCAUCUCUUAAGAAAGGCCAGGAGAACCAACUGGAUCUCCUGGGCCGUCCUCCAAACAGCUGAUGUGAUGGCACCCGCCCCUCCAGGUGGCUCCCGCCUGCCUCUCUGCCCUCAUGUCGCAGCACUGCAGGACGGGAACAGCCCGCGGGCCUGCUGGAGACGGCCAGGCUAGAAUGGCUUCCUUACAUCCGCUCAGGCUGCUGGGACAGCCCUUCCCUUCCCGUCAGCCUGCAGAGCGUCCCCCUCCUCCAGGAGGCAGGCCUCCGACUGGAUGUCUUAGUCUUUUCCAGGAUCUCCUGGCACACACUGCUGGGUCCUGGGUACAUUUAUUGUCCUAUCUCCUUGACAGCAGCUCCAGGCCUCAGGAGGGAAUACCUGCACCACCUCCUUCCCUGGUUGUCGCUAGGGUUCCAUGCAGUACCAUGUGCAAAGCCCUGUGCCUGGGGUAUAGAGCUGGCGCCCAGUACAAAGGGCAAUUGUGGUUGCUGUUAUCACCAUCGUGGGGUACCGUCUUUCCAGAUUCCAGUUUCUAGGUUUUCACUCGUUCUUGUGGCAGCCAUGAAGGGGUGGUGGUUACAAGCGUGUGAACUCUGGAAUUAGACAGAUUGGAGCCGUGUCGUAGCUUCUCCCCUUACGAAUGGUCACAGGAGCAAAGCCCUCUGAGCCUCAGUUUGUUCAUCUGUAAAAUGAGGACAGUCAUUGUAACGAUCUAAGAGCUCGAUUGUGAAGAUUAAAUUGAGGAAGUGACAAAA
rnacentral:lncRNA from 1 species